GAGAGCCUGGCUGCUUCAGAGUGGUCAAAAGAUUACACUGAUGCAGGGAGUCACCCUGAUGGUGCUACGACUGGGCAGAACCAAUGGGAUACUCGGUGGAUGUGUGACUCGGAAGGGAGCCAGUGGAGAGCAUGUUAUUUCCAUGAUGUGUUAGCAGCCGUGCCCGUCCUCACAGCACCGUGAGAUUGCUGCUUUAUUCCUCUUCAUGAGAUGAGGAGAGCAAGGUGCAGAGGAAUUGAAUAACUGCCCCAAGUUCAGUGACAUGGCUGAGAUGCCAAAAUAGAACCAAAUCCCCAUGAACUCUGCUAAUAGAAGAGGAGAAGGCAGAUGGAUGAAAUUCUCAGAUGCACUCCAACAGCAAUCCAGCCAUGUCCUCUGAUCCUGCUGAGGCUGAUGGCACUGCGUGGCAUCCUGCCAUACUUCCCCACGCACAGUCUAUACACAUCGGUAGUGUGGGCAGAAGGAAAGGUGGGUGUUGCUGGAAGGUAAGUAAAAUCACAGAAGUUAAGAGAAAUCAGCCUGCCUUCAAAAAAAAAAAGUUUCCCCUCAGAUGCAUAGACUGUAGAAAUCAGCCUUUCUGAUAAUGCUGAGGGAGAGAGAGUAGAUAGAAAGGGGUAACCCAGUGGUACUGUUCUUGCUAACUUUUAGGCAAGAUAGUUAUGCCAACAUUGUCCUCCAAACCAUAGACCUCCUGACAUACUGGAAUCAUAUAGCUGCGGCAUACUUAGAGGCUGUCUCAUUCAACUCCAUCAUUUUAAAGAGAAUAGAUGUGGGUGUGGACAAGCAAAGGAACUUGCCCAUGGGCAUUCAACUAGAUGGUGACAGAGCCCCAGUCCAAGAGUCUUUCCAUGAGCAGAACCCAGGACCAAAUCUGCAACAGACUUUGAGAGGAUUCAGGUACAGGUGUGGGCAUGAGGGAUUUGUUACUUCCCAGAGACUCUGGAGCCCUUGAUUUGACAAUUCUGUUCCUCUGGAACUAAUCUCUUUAUAGGUCAGUUGGACUCCUGAGCCCUUUUUAUUCUCAAGAGAUCGAUCAGAAGGAUGAGUGUGGUGGCUCACGCCUAGCACUCUGGGAGGCUGAGGUGGAUGGACAGCCUCAGCAAGAGAGACACCCCGUCUCUAAAA